AAUAAAAUGGCUGAGGUAAAGGCGAUAAAUUGUAAAUUUAUUAACGAAAUUAGAUUUCUUUUAUUA
rnacentral:tRNA from 1 species